CACUCCUUUUAGUCCCUUUUGCAGAUUUCUUCGAUUUCUCCUCUUUUUCCGCUGCCGAUUAUUCUCUUCGCCGGUCGCCGGUCGUCUUCGCCGCGCCGAGCAGUCUUCGUCGUUCACCGUUCGCCGAGUCGCCGUUUCGCUUCGCCGUCGAGGCACCGGCUUCUUUGCCUUCGCUGUUCAUCUUCGCUUAACCAGUCUCCGCCGUUCGUGUUCCCUUUUCGUGUUCGCCGACCGGUCAUUCGUGCGAAAAACGGUUCUCCUGAAUCAAGUCUGAAUUUUGGACGUCUGCAAUGGUAGAGUUUGCAUCGAACUCCACCACUGUAUCUACCCCCGACGCCCUCCACCCUUCGAAGCUUAAGAAGUCGGAGCCACUUGACCCUUUUGAUUUGAAGGCUAACGAUUACUCCUUUGCUGAUUCCUUUCUAGACUACGAUUCUUUGAACGACUGGAUCGAGGAAUUAACAUCCCCUGUUAUGGUUGAUGCAAAAACGGUUCUGCCUAAAGCAGAAGUUCAUUUGAAUCAAGCAAAUGCGUCAGUGUCCAAUCCAACUGUCGAAGGGCCUGCUCAGCCGGUUGUUGCCGUGUCUGUACCAGUUGUGCAGGCUAGUAUUGAGGCUUCUGAUAAGUCUAGGGAUUUGAAUGGCAUAAUCGAGGAAGGGAUGUCUAAGGUUAGUUUGGUCACUGGGUCUGGAAGCACCGGGAACAUUGAUUUAGAGUGUCGAAAGGAUGAGAGUGAAAGUGAUGUUGAGUCUGAGGGCACAAGUUCAGCUACAACAUCCAGUAGCAGUAGCCAUGGCAGAGGCCGCAAUGAUGAAAAAGAUGAAGAGGAAGAAAAUUCAUCGUCUUCUAGCAGCGAUGACAGCAGCUGUGAUGAUGAAGAAGAGGAGAACAAGUUCACUAUGAAAGCGGAGGGACAUGGAGAAAUCGGUGAGCUCGAAGAAGGUGAGAUAAGGGAUGUUGAAGAUGAAGAUGAAGAGGCUUCUACAGAUCAAAUGGUUGCGUGGGAUGGUGAUGGUGGGGACCCGGACAUUGAUGAUGAUGAAGAGGUUGGUGUUGAAGGAGGGCCGAUUAGUUCAAAAAAUGAGCUUAAGGUUCUUCCUCCAGUUCCUCAGGUGUAUGCCACACUGCAGCCACAACACCAGAUUAUUCCUGUUGGAGUUGUUCUGUCAAUAAUUGGCAAUCAAGUCAUUGUAGAGGGUGUUGAGAAGCACAAUCCUCUUAAUGAAGGCUCUAUCCUCUGGAUAACUGAAACUAGAUCCCCAUUGGGGUUGAUAGAUGAAAUUUUUGGACCAGUAAAAUAUCCUUAUUAUUCCGUAAGAUACAAUUCUGAAAGUGAAGUUCCUACUGGGAUUUGUGGAGGCACUCGCGUCUCUUUUGUUCUGGAGUUUGCCGAUUAUAUUCUCAACAACAAAGACCUGUACAAGAAAGGGUAUGAUGCAUCUGGAGUGAAUGAUGAAGAGGUGUCAGAUGAUGAUGAGUUUUCAGAUGAUGAGAAAGAGCUUGAGUUCAAGAAAAUGCAGAGGUUGGCUAAGAGGUCUACGAAUAACAAUCAGAAAAAUGGGAAUGGAAACAACACUAGAAAGAAGAAAAACUCUGGUCAAGCCCGGAAAUUUGGUCAGCGUACAUAUCAGAAUGCAAAGAUACCCAAUGAGUCCAGAAAUUACGGUGAGCCCACACCCCAGCAAGCAAUGAUGACUGAGGGCAGCAAAUUUGUUCAGCACACACCCCAGCAAGCAAAGAUGGAUAUGGUUCAGCCAUCUUCCAAUCAAAACCAGCACAAUGGCCCUCCUUAUGCUCCAUUUGUAUAUCAUGGUGGUUGUCCAAACCCUUCAGCAGCAGAGCAAUGUUUUAUCAAUGGAAGUGGUGUUAUUCCAUCCUUUCCACCAACGUACAGCCCCUGCUUUACCCCAGCAAUGAAUGGAAUUAGGCCAACUGAAAUGCCAUUUCACCUUCAACAGCAACAGAAUCCAUUCUUUCCCAACGCCCUUCCAAUGAAUGGUAUGCCAUGGCUAUUACAGAAUCCUGCCCAGCAAGUGCCUCAAAUGCCUAUGAUGAAUACCUUUGGAGGAGCGGCAUAUCCACAGGGGCUCAUAGGUACAUCACCCAGCCUACCAAAUCCUUUGACAAGUGUCGGGACACAAGGAAUCCAUUCUGGUGGACUACAGUUUGGACAGAAUCAAAACUUGCAGCCUCCUCCCCCCCUUGCCAUCCCAGGAAGCAUGGAAGCAACACAGCUAUUCAAUCCAGCCAACUCGCACCCACUUGGAGCCUUUCCAGGAAACGUAGCACCACCACAAUUCAACCCUGACUCAUCUUCAAGUCAGGGAAGGAAAUCUCAUGGUCGAGGAGGGGGAUCCCAUUUUAGAGGUAGAAGAGGUCGGCGACAAACAAGAUGAACAUUUAAUUGUUCCCUCUUUGUGCUAAGAGGGAUCCAUAGUCAAUGCAGGUCUGGCUGCUGCAAUCUGAGAAACAGCAUGUCUCUUACCCAAAAACCACACGAAGUGCAACCCUUACAAGUAGGCGAACGAGUACAGCCUCUGUAAACCUCGCAACUUGCUCUUCAUCAUCAUCCCAGGUUAUUCUAAGCAAUAGAAAAUAUUUAUCGUUCUUUAGUGUACAUGUAUGCAGCUACAACAUCAAACCUAGAACAAAAACCACAAAUAGCCACACAUGAAAGUGUAAUAAGUUUAUAUGUUGAUGCAUUAGACUGACAAUUUUGACUUUACAAGCGCUCCAUUUAUGUAAUUCUUUGCAUACUGCAAGAAACACCUGGAGCUAAACAGUGCAAGAAACUUAUCUUCUUGAUUUAACUCCACGAGAAAGGAAGACCGGUCUUAUUUUAUAUUUUCCUAAUUGAAAAAUUCAGUACAUUUCAUCCUUUGACGACAGUGGGAUCUCAUCUUAUAUUUCCUCUGGUUCUUUCAUUGAGUUCCAAGUACAACACCAUCUAGUAGAUAAUUCAUUGAACUGUCCUGUAUUUUAUAAAGUUCUGUUUUCCAAUAACAGAGUUUUAAUUUGACUGCGUCAUAAGUAAAGGCUUGCAAGUCUAGUCAUUGUUCUGAAAUCUAAAUGUUGUUGCCUGUAGAUGGACUCCUUAUGGAAAUUCUUAGUGGAUAAUUUGUAGGCAGCCUAGGAAUAAGAGUGUACUGAAUAGAGGUAUAAGAAAUAUUGUUAAGACUCAGAUUUUAAUUUUCAUGCAUUUAUUUCAUUUUCAGUUUCUUCAAUUUAUGCACUCUUUAUAAUUUCUUGAGGACUAGAUUAUCCACCCCCUACUGCCUUUCACUGUUUCAUUCAUGCUCUAUUCCUCAAGUUCUUUGAUCCAGCGUCGGUUUCACUGUUUACUUCUCGAGGUUAUGGUUAUGACUCCUAUUUUUGGUGGUAUGAUGCUAUUUUGGAUCCUUUAUUGAAAUACUUCAUAUGUUUUUCUUCAAACUUUGUUAAAUUUUUUAGUGUCCUACCCAGUUGGCUUCUUUGCAGAAAACUUCUUAUGAGAUGCACGGUUUUAUCCUCUGAUGUGCUGAUUUUCUUUCCUUCAGUUUUCUACUUGUUCUGCAAUCCUCCCGCUCAAUCCGUGUCUCAUCUUAAUUGAUCAUGGCCAUUUCUAGGUUCCAAACUUGGAAGCAUGCUCUUGAGGCAAUGGAAUCUCAAAAGAAGCCGCAUGUGGUUUGUGGUUUUGAUAAUGUGUUACUUAUUAUACUGCAAAUAAACUUAGUCUUGAUUCAUAGUUUAUCCGUGAGACGAUUAUGUGUUGCUUUUUUUUAAGCAGGACGCCAACUCAUUUUUAUAUAUCUCGAUGAUUUCACUAUUGUUUUUCAACUUCGUUGUUUCUGGCGUUGGGGUUAGAAUUGUUACUUUUGUUAUUUGUUUCCUGAAGGUGAUGAAAACUUCGUGUCAAGAGUCACUUUAAAAGACCUACCUUCAAGGCCAGCAUUACGACGCCAAAUGCUUCAAUCUCAAUGCUUCGAGUCUCAAAUACCGUCUUUCUACUUUCGAUGAUUAGGCUCCACACCCGUAACGACACAACGUGUGGAGUUGAUGCUAACAAGACACAUUCUAAUUCGUUGUUUGUUUGUCCAUCAAAAGGCGCCGCCGGGAUUGCCUCGACGGAUCUUUUGCAGCUCACCACACCCAGAAACGACCCGGUACCGGUUGGUUUCG